CCUACGGGAGGCAGCAGUGAGGAAUAUUGGUCAAUGGACGAGAGUCUGAACCAGCCAAGUAGCGUGAAGGAUGACUGCCCUAUGGGUUGUAAACUUCUUUUAUAAAGGAAUAAAACGAGGCACGUGUGCCUUUUUGCAUGUACUUUAUGAAUAAGGAUCGGCUAACUCCGUGCCAGCAGCCGCGGUAAUUCGUAGGGUGCAAGCGUUAUCCGGAUUUUCUGGGUGUAAAGGGAGCGCAGGCGGCACGGCAAGCCUGAUGUGAAAGCCCGCGGCCCAACCGCGGGACUGCAUUGGGAACUACCGGGCUGGAGUGCGAGAGAGGUAGGCGGAAUGCCUAGUGUAGCGGUGAAAUGCGUAGAUAUUAGGAGGAACACCAGUGGCGAAGGCGGCCUACUGGACGGUGACUGACGCUGAGGCUCGAAAGCGUGGGGAGCAAACAGGAUUAGAUACCCGUGUAGUC
rnacentral:rRNA from 1 species